rnacentral:lncRNA from 1 species
GACUUGAAUAAAAAAUUUAUAUCCAAUAAUAGACAAGCAAAGAAGAGUCUGUGAUUGAAUAAUACACAAGCAAACAAAAGAUUGUGACUGAUAAUACACUAGCAUACAAAGAGGUCUAUUCAUGACACUUGAAUAAUACAAAAGGACAAGUCCGUGACUCAUCUGAAACACACAAGAAUACAAAGAGGUCGUACCCGAUGACAAUGACACUUCUUCACUAGGCUAUCUUCAGGGGACAAGAACGGUAUCAUACCAGGGGACAACCUGUAUCACACCAGUGGCAACAAAGCAAUCAUCAGUUAAAAGAAUUUUAACUCCAUUAUAUAUAUGAACAUUUUUAAAAGGACAAGAACUGCAUUAACUCCAACACAUAACAUUUUCAACAUAAAACCAGAGUGAAUUCAACAUAACAACAACUACAUAAACUCCAUUAAUAUAGAACAUGCUUCUUAAACUACUAAAACAGAACAAGCCAAAAGCAAACCGAACAAGAUCCUUCUUCUUAAACAACUAAAACAAAACAAGAAACACAUCAAGCCACACAUAAACAUAACAAGAACAUUCUUCUUAAACUACUAAAACAGAACAUGAAACAUAAAUAUGAAACAAAGAUACUCAAGCAGACCCAUCUUAAUUAUCCAACAUUUCUGUAAUUAGCUUGUCUUUUAAGGCUUCUUCUACUUCCGAAAGUGCCUCUUUUUUUGCAAGGAGUCUUUCAAGCAGAUUCAUCUUGGCCAGACUCUCUUUCACUGCCACACGUAACACAUCAAGCCACACAUAAACAGAACAAGAACAUUCUUCUUAAACUACUAAAACAGAACAGGAAACAUAAAUAUGAAACAAAGACACUCAAGCAGACCCAUCUUAAUUAUCCAACAUUUCUGUAAUUAGCUUGUCCUUUAAGGCUUCUUCUACUUCCGAAAGUGCCUUUUUUUUUGCAAGGAGUCUUUCAAGCAGAUUCAUCUUGGUCAGUCUCUCUUUCACUGCCAAGUCCUUCUCUUUGAUUGACCACAUUCUCUGAAACUCAUCGACACCCUUUCCAUCCACUAUAGGUCUCCUACCACUUGCUUUUUUCGCUGCCUUAACACCAAGUGGCCGUUUGGUUGGUUCAUCUUCUACAUUGAUAGUGGCUUGAGAGCUUGCUGAUUGUGCACCAUCAUCACACCUCCUCUUCUUAAAGCUUCCAUCUUUCUUAUUGGUAGCCAGUUCGCACCAUUUCUGGUCAUGGCGCAGCUCCUCCCAUGCAUGGUGAAGGUUGGAUUUCAUCUUGUGAUCGUUGUAGAAGAUCUCGUGUGCCAGUUUAACAACAUCACUGUCAUUCUGGCCACUUGUUUUCUGUCUUGUUGCAGCCUCAAAGGAUCCACAAAACUUGGAGACAAGAUCAUUAAUCUUCUGCCACCUUUGCUUACACUGAAUUGCCUCGUGCUUUUCACUGCUUUCAACCGAUGGACUAGCUGCAUAGUAAGCUGUUAUUCGCUUCCAGAAAGCACCAGCCUUUUGCUCAUUGCCAACCACAGGAUCCUUGCUCGUGUUUAACCGUGCGCUAAUGAGCAGUUUAUCCUUUGUGGGAGUCCACUUCUUUCUUUCUUUGCGCUCUAUAGCUAUGUCUUCAGCGGGGCUUGAAGUUGCAGUACAUUGAGUACUAAACCCAUUAGGAGUUGUGAACAACUCUCAUAAAGAAGGGGUUCAGGAAGGACAUGUUCUUGUUGACUGCUCAAAAGGUCAACAAAAUUGGAGUUCUGAUGACAAUAUGGAUUCGUAGAAUCCAUAUUCUAAAAUGUGAGAGAAGCGAGAAAGAAGAAGUUAUGUGGAGAAGAGAAAAGAUUUAGAAGAUGAAAAGAAAAGAGUUAGAAGAUGAAAAAAAAUCAUAACAACAACCCGGUUUAAUAGAGGAGAAGAGACAUGCUUUAGACAAAUACAAAGAUGAGUUGGGUUAAGAUGAGUUGACAUGAAUCUAACACAUUUAUUAUCCAACAAACACAGUCCUAAUGUUAAUCUACAAGCAUUCAUCACACGCGUAUUGACUAACCAUAACUCUAAAAGCAUUUAUUAACUACCUCUAUCAACUACUAUCCACCCUAAAGCAAUAAAGAAAAAGCAAGACUUGAAGAAGAUUAAAGUUUUGCAAACUAACCUCAAAGAGAGACGAAGGUAGUGGUUGCUUGUCGAAGAACUUGAUGUGUUUUUCCCUCUGCCACAGCGACCUCAACCACAAAUACAAGAGUUGCAAAAGAAGCAAGACAUUAAAAGGAAUUAAUUAACAGAAUGAAGAUUAUAUGUACAAGAUUAAAUAACAGAAUUAAUAAACAGAAUGAAGAUUAUAAGUAUCACAAGGAGCAAAGCAUAAUCAAUCAACAACAAUCGAACUUCACUAACUCUUAAACUCAAAAACAGCAAUCGAACUUCAAGUAUCACAAGGAGCAAAGCAUAAUCAAUCAACAACAAUCGAACUUCACUAACUCUUAAACUCAAACAACAAUCGAACUUCAAGUAUCACCAGGAGCAAAUCUUAAUCAAUCAACAACUAUGACUUCAAACUCUACCGCAACAUUCCAAUCAAAUUCAGACCACUCUCUAAUCAACCAAUCUUUAAGAUAGCAACACUACUUUUCUUCCGACCAAUCAAACAACAAUUCGGAAACUAAUCAACUGAAGAGAGAGAGAGCAAACGAAGAAAACCG